UGGCUCAGGAUGAACGCUAGCUACAGGCUAACACGUGCAAGUCGAGGGCAGCAUGUCGGUUGCUUGCAACCGAUGAUGGCGACCGGCGCACCGGUGAGUAACGCGUAUCCAACCUGCCUCUUACCAGGGAAUAAUCCGUCGAAAGGCGGACUAAUGCCCUAUGCCCUCCGCGGCAGACAUCUAAUGUGGAGGAAAGAUUCAUCGGUAAGUGAUGGGGAUGCGUCUGAUUAGCUUGUUGGCGGGGUAACGGCCCACCAAGGCAACGAUCAGUAGGGGUUCUGAGAGGAAGGUCCCCCACAUUGGAACUGAGACACGGUCCAAACUCCUACGGGAGGCAGCAGUGAGGAAUAUUGGUCAAUGGGCGGAAGCCUGAACCAGCCAAGUAGCGUGCAGGACGACUGCCCUAUGGGUUGUAAACUGCUUUUAUGCGGGGAUAAAUGACACUACGUGUAGUGUUUUGCAGGUACCGCAUGAAUAAGGACCGGCUAAUUCCGUGCCAGCAGCCGCGGUAAUACGGAAGGUCCAGGCGUUAUCCGGAUUUAUUGGGUUUAAAGGGAGCGUAGGCCGCCUGGUAAGCGUGUUGUGAAAAAUACCGGCUCAACCGGUAUCCUGCAGCGCGAACUGCCUGGCUUGAGUGUGCGCAACGUUGGCGGAAUUCGUCGUGUAGCGGUGAAAUGCUUAGAUAUGACGAAGAACUCCGAUUGCGAAGGCAGCUGACGGGAGCACAACUGACGCUGAAGCUCGAAAGUGCGGGUAUCGAACAGGAUUAGAUACCCUGGUAGUCCGCACGGUAAACGAUGGAUGCCCGCUGUUUGUCCUGAUGGACAAGCGGCCAAGCGAAAGCGUUAAGCAUCCCACCUGGGGAGUACGCCGGCAACGCGUGAACUAAAGGAAUGACG
rnacentral:rRNA from 1 species